AUGUCAGAACGCCAUUGCUGCUGCCUGCUGAUAGAACUCUAUUAAAAAGUACAGAGGUCAUGAUGGACCCAGUUUCAUUUACCAAACUUCAAAACCAGAACGUGAUGAUAGCCACAAAUAUGCUUGAGCUCAAUGCUUUUAUGAGUGGAACAAUUAUUGGGUUCACUCUAUUCUUGUACAUUUAUUUUAUCUGUAAUAGAAGAGCACUGUGGACCAUUUUCAUUUAUCAAAGUUCUCACUGA
rnacentral:lncRNA from 1 species